AAAAGGAAACCUUGUUUAGGAUGGAGUUGGGAGGCCGGCAGGGGGAGCUCUCAUGCUCAGCGCUAGUCAACGACAGAGCCAGCAGGAAGAGACGCACCUUGCACAGGAUAGGCUACCUUAGCUAGUACUUUACUGCUCCAGCAGGAGGAAGACCUGGCAACAGCCCAGCCAAUGGGAGGCAGUCACAGCUCAGCCAAUGAGAAGCCACUGUACUUCAGACUCCCAGUUUCCUCCAGUGGACUUUUCGUUUAGAAGAGCCUUCCCUACUUCCCCCUUUCCCCUGGAAAAGAACAUUCCUCUCCUUUGUUCUCCAGACUAGCCUGUGGUUCUGCCGAAGCUUGCUGGUCCUAGGUUGUUGCAAUUCUCUGCUACUCCCAGAUAAACCCAUUUUUCCUGGCUGCGAGGUUGUCGGUGUGCCUUUGUACCUCAGCCAACUACCCUUUGAGACCCCCCAAACUCAGGAAGUUUAAUCAGUCCGGUCUCUGGCCCUUAAAUCAAUCAGGACCUCAUUGAAGUUCUGCAUGAAUCUCCCAAAGAGUAGCCAGCUACCAAGUUUUCACCAUCCUGCCACCUCGGUCCUGGCUUCUGCUUUGUGCACUGCAACCUGGCUUCCUGGGGCGUGAGGAAAAGCAUGUGAAGAUACAGCAACAGAGCAGCAUCUUCAAGCCAGAAGAAAGUCCUCACCAAAACCAACCCUGGAACCUUGAUCUUGGACUUCUAACCUCCAGAACAAUUAGAAAAUACAUGUUUGUUGUUUAAGCCACCUAGUCUAUGGUAUUUUGUUAUGGAGGCCCAGCAGACUAAUGUACCCAUGUUGUUUUAAUUAACUUUAGUUAGAUAAGUAAGAGUUACUUUGAAUCUCCUUGUAAAAAAAAAAAAAAAUCAUUAAAGAGUUUUUAACCAACAUCUC